UACGAAGGGGGCUAGCGUUGCUCGGAAUCACUGGGCGUAAAGCGCACGUAGGCGGAUUUCUAAGUCAGGGGUGAAAUCCUGGAGCUCAACUCCAGAACUGCCUUUGAUACUGGGAAUCUCGAGUCCGGGAGAGGUGAGUGGAACCGCGAGUGUAGAGGUGAAAUUCGUAGAUAUUCGGAAGAACACCAGUGGCGAAGGCGACUUACUGGACGAUUGUUGACGCUGAGGUGCGAAAGCGUGGGGAGCAAACAGG
rnacentral:rRNA from 1 species